rnacentral:lncRNA from 1 species
CAGUCUUGUUCCGGUACAAGCCCUGCUGCAGGCUACCCGAGAGCUGACCAUAAAUUCCAAUUUUGGGAUUUUGGUGCCAAGUCUCACUCCAACAUCCUCGGGAAGCGCGCCAGGGGUCGGAACACUAUCAACGACCCUCCAAAAACUGUGGAAAGGCUCCACACACAGAUCAAACACUCGAAUCUUGCAAUUUGCUAAGAUCCAGUGUAUUACA